rnacentral:lncRNA from 1 species
UUCAUAUUUUUUUCUUCACAAAACUAAACAAGAAUCAGAGGAUCGAACUACGUAACAAAGGUACUCUCUUUUAUGUAUAGAUUCAUUUACUUGGUAAUUCACAAAUAUUGCUAUCUGCUAUUAGGCUAUACCCUCGAUUCUACUAGCGAGAUUAUGUCAAUCAUUCAAUGCCAUUGAUGAUAAGCAUAUGAUCUUGCGUAACUUUCAACCUCAUCUAUUAUUUCCUUGCUUGUCUAUAUUAAUUAACUACAAACUACAAAUGAGUUAAGACACUAAUAGUAUAAUACACAAGAUCCAUAAUCAGAUGAAUUUUACAAGACAACAAGAUCCAAUGAUAAGAAUAUCAAGGUUUUCAUAACCAAAUCGGACAAUAAAGCAGACGUCUUAUUGGCAUGCUAGUUUAACCGAUCGAACCGGAUGACGUCUUAGAUAUUAUAUAUAUAAAUAUUUAUAACUAUAAAACGUUGAAAAGGAAUAUCAACAAAACUAAAAACAAUAAUAAAAAUGAAUAUAAAUUAAUUGUAAACCACUUUAUCUUCAUUAUGCAUAUUCUCAAAUAGAAGUCUUUAUGUAAACUCCCUCCUAUGUAUGUGGGAAAGUUAUUAUUGUAUACAGGGAUGUUUAAAAUGAAAACCAACUUCAGCUGCGAAAACUGUGAUAACCAUUUUCUAACCAUUGGAUCUUGGAGAUUUAUAGAUAAAAGUAACUAAAACUAAUAUUAAAUUAUUUUUAUCUUAUUAUGUUUUUAAUAUUUUAAUUUUAAAAUGGUAGUUUAAUAAAUUUGUUUCUUUUUGUCUUAUUGUAUUUAUUGUUUUUAUCUUAUUAUAUUAAUUGUUUAUUAUUAAAAUCAGACUUUUUAUUAAAAACAUUUUAAAAUCAGAUUCUUUUACAAAAAAAAAUCAAGAUUUUUUUACAAAAAAACGAUUUUACGAGCCAUUUUUUACGUCCCGUUUUAUUAACCCGCCAUUUUUUACGCCCCGUUUUUUUAACCCACCAUUUUUAACGCCCCGUUUUUUUAACCCACCAUUUUUAACGCCCCAAAAAAACUUUCUUUACGGACAAUUUUUUUACGAAAAAACUUUCUUUACGGACAAUUUUUUUUACGAAAAACCUUUUUUACGGAAAACUUUUUAUACAAAAAAACUUUUUUCUACGAAAAACUUUUUUUACGAAAGACUUUUUUUUUUACGAAAGACUUUUUUUUUACGAAACAAUUUUUUUACGAAAAAUUGUUUUUACAAAGCAAAUUCUUUUAAAAAAAAACUUUUUAUUACGGAAAACUUUUUUCUACGAAAACCUUUUUACGAAAAAUUUUUGUUCGGGUUUAAACUUUUUUACGAAAACUUCUUUUUUUACAAAAAAAUUUUUAGAAAAGACUUCUUUAUAUUUUUU